UCCCUGUGCAGAAAUCAGCAUCACCACUGUUAUCAUAGGACUGACAGUAAUAGUCCGCCUCGUCCUCAGCCUGGGCCCCAGUGAUGGUCAGAGUGGCUGCAUCCCCCGAGCUGGAGCCAGAGAAUCUGUCAGGAAUCCCUGUGGGCUUCUCACUAUCCUCAAAUGACCAACACAGGGGCUUGGCCUGGCUUCUGCCGGUACCAAUGUGUAUAAUACCCCUCCAGUCCAGAGCAGGUCACUGUAACCGG